AAGACCCCAAUGCGUCGCGGAUGCGGCGU
rnacentral:rRNA from 1 species